UCCCGGGGAAGUGAAAGUGGAGGGGAAGGCGCAACCGGGAGCCAGCUAGCGGUGGCGGGCACCCCGCAUCCCACUGCCCCCGCGGGUGCCGGAGCAAGAGCACCCCGCCCUCCUGCUCGGGUCACGCGGCGGCCGGCGCUGCUGCCGUCACGUCCUCGGCCCCGGCGCGCCGGCUUUUCGGUGCCCUCCAGCUCCCUGCUCAGCCACCUCCCCCUCCGCGCGCCCUCUGCCCCAGCCCGACUUCCCGUUGCCCGGCAUGUGGGCGUUGGAGACCCGAGUGGCCCCUGUUCCCGUGGCUCCACUUAGGGAGAAAGGGUGACCCUCCGCAGGACUCCCCCGGUCGGGUCCGGGGAAUCCCUGCGCGUGCUCAGCGCUUGGGGGGGGCAUCCGCUCGCCGCUCCGACUGUCCCACCUAACUGCCUCUGCCUGUGCCUUGGGCAUGGGGCUCCCGCUCGCCUGCACUAGGUGAGGGGGGGGUGCCCCAGAGUUAAAUCUGGAGGCUGAUGCGGACUCCUGGCUUCACCUCCCAGACGUGGAGGCUAAAUUUAGCUGGAGUUGGGGCGUGUGUGUCCAGGAGCCAGCCUGGCCCCGGGAGACUCCUUUGCUCUCUCCAGUUAGUUCUCUGGGCCAAGAGUGGGAGAUAAAGUAGAACUGUUCAUCCCGGAGCCAUGGAAUCUCCUCGGCCUUGCUCAGGCCCCUUUGGUCUGAAGUUCGGACUUGGCUUGAUGCUGCGCUGGCACCUUCAGCAGAACCCCCCGCCCCACGGCGCCGCCACACACACCCAUAGGCUGACUUCUGCUGAGCUGCAGCUUCCCCUCCGCCGUUUCAGGAAGUAACCUCCCUUCCCCUCUGAAGCACUCCCCCACACCUCCCAGCCCCUGAUGCAAACCACCCACCAGGCUCUUCCCAGCGUCUGCACCCUGGGGCGUCUCAGGAACCUUGGGGCUCCUACUCCCUGGGGCGGGCCAUGGAGGCAGGUGAGGAAACAGUUACUGAAAGGCUGUUGUGGGCCUAAUUCUGUCUCGGCUCGGGCUCCGGGGCUCUGUGGCAGAGGGCGAGGGACUGCGGGAACCCGUCUCCCACAGUCACUUUAGACCUAACUGGAGACAUCUAAGGAUCCUGUGGGUGGGAGGGCACUGUGGCUGCGCCAGGCUGGUGGAGUUAAGGAAAGGCACUAAAGCUUGGGUUUUGUGAGGUUUCCCAGAAUCCUGUGGGAGUGGGCCCUUUUGGAGUGUCAACUGGGUCAGGAGGUCCUUAGGAUGUCAUAACUAGAGCAGAAAGCCAGAAACCCUUAAAAAAGACUAAGGUUGGUGUGACGUGGCCAGAAUCAAUGGUGUCAUUGCAGGUCAUUACAGGAAAUAGUGUGAUCUCUGGUGUUCUAACCAGGCAGGUAGUGGGGAGGGGUGGGGCCUUGGAAGGCAUACACGAGCAACAUGGUGUCAGAGCCCAGGCUAGCGGUCUGAGGUGGAGUUUGGUUCUUUGGGGAGAGAACUGCCAAGUGGGAGGAACCUGGUCUUUUUAAGGAGCUGUGGUGGGCUCUGAGCGCCUGGGGAUGUGAGAGGUGGGAAUGACUGACCUUAUCCCAUCUUCUUUUGGAAGGAUUAGGAACCGGAGGGGACUGAAGGGAGGGGGUAGCACUCUGUUGCCGUGGCAACACCGGUUUCCCUUGCUCCAUCUCUCCCCCACUUGCCCAUUCCAGAUGCAGUGAGUGAGGGGGGGGCCAUGGCUGAGGAGCGGCCCCCCCGGCUGGUGGAUUACUUCGUGGUUGCUGGGCUUGCGGGGAAUGGAGCACCUAUCCCUGAGGAAACAUGGGUUCCUGAGCCCAGUGGACCCCUGCGCCCUUCCCGGCCAGCUGAGCCCAUCACCGAUGUGGCAGUCAUUGCUAGGGCACUGGGCGAGGAGGUGCCCCAGGGCUAUACAUGCAUCCAGGCUUCUGCUGGGGGCCACCCCUUGGAAUUCAGUGCUGGGCUCCUGGGUGGAACUCAGCCUGUCAUCUGCUACCGCAGAGGCCGGGACAAACCCCCCCUUGUGGAGUUGGGGUAUGUGCCUCCUACGCAUGCUGGCCCCAGGGGAGCUGGGAGGGACUAUGAGUUAGAGCCAAGUCAAGGUAGGGGUGUGGGAUGAGGGGAGGGCCAGAGGCCAGGGAGGAGGGGCUGAAGUUGUCAGUGCUUGGUCUCAGGUUGUCUCAGGUUGGGUUUGCAUGCCCGUGCUGCUGCCACCUAGCCCUUUGGUCUUGGGCAGGUUAUAAAGCCCCACCAAUGAGGAUAAUAGUCCCUCGUAGGAUGCUUGAUAAGAUUGAGUGGAGUAAGACCCCUGAGGGAUUCAGCACGUCAGUGACUUCUUAGUGUCUGUUCAUGAGAGAGAGAGUCGCGGAAGGCAUGUGGGUUGUUACUGACUGACAAGUAGGGUCAAGGGCAAAGAGGGGCUAUGGGAUUCUGAGUUCAGCAAGCAGAGGUGGGCCCGGUAUUGGGUUUGACAAGGCUGAGUGUGCAGGGCAGUUUCCACUAGGUAGGCAGAUCUGACAGGAUUGGGGUCUUUCUCCUCGGUCCUGUCCUCUUGACAUUUCUCUGUUUUCUGUGCCCAGGGUGUUAUAUGAGGGCAAGGAACGUCCCAAGCCUGGCUUCCAAGUGCUUGAUACUACACCGUACAGCCACUCAGCCAACCUGGCCCCUCCAGGCCCCGGGCAUCCCCGCACCUACCUCACUUAUAGGCGGGCAGCAGAGGGGGCAGGACUGCAUGCCCUGGGCAUCACUGACCUCUGCCUGGUCCUGCCCAGCAAGGGUGAGGGCACGCCUCAUACUUACUGCCGGUUGCCCCGCAACCUCAACCCUGGCAUGGUGAGUGGGGCUGUGGAGCUGAGAGCUGAGACCUGGGCCCUUGGUGUGAGGGUGUGGAACUGGGCCCAAGGGUAUAAAGGGGCCAGGGGCAGGCCAGACGGGUGAUAGGGCUUGAGGGCUUGUGAUUAGAGGCAGCUCAGAAGAUCAUUUGGGGGUAGUAGAGAGAAAGUGGACCCCAGAAACCUUUGGUAGCUGUGUGUUUGCUUGUUUCUUGCCAUCGGGGGCAGUGGGGCCCAGCAGUGUACCUGUGCUUCAAGGUGGGCCUGGCCAAAGCCAACACACUGGUGUAUGAGGCAGGUGAGUGGCCCCUUUGUCCCUCCUAGCCUUUGACCCUUCGUGUCCCUCUGCCCUUGGUGCCUCUUGGCUGAUUCCUUCAAGUGUUCCCUAGAAUUCAUUUCCCUUUUGCUGCUUGGCCUUCUCUGGGAUCCCCUGGCUCCUCUCCCUGAAGUCUGAUGGACACCCCUCCUUUUGGGUACUCCUCACUCUGCUUGGGUGCAGAGCUGCUGGGCCGCUACCCAGAGGAGGACAAUGAGGCUUUCCCGCUGCCCGAGUCAGUGCCAGUCUUCUGCCUGCCCAUGGGGGCCACUAUCGAGUGCUGGCCCUCCCAGACCAAGUACCCCGUGCCCGUCUUCUCCACCUUUGUACUCACGGGUGCCGCUGGCGAUAAGGUAGGUGUGGGGCCUGUGGUAAGGGUCUGGGCCAUGCAGAGCCUGCCUGACCGUCCCUCUGUCCCCUGCCAGGUGUAUGGUGCCGCCCUGCAGUUCUAUGAGGCCUUUCCAAGGGCCAGGCUGUCAGAGCGGCAGGCGCGGGCACUGGGCCUGUUGAGUGCCGUGGAACGGGGCCGGGCGCUGGGCGGCCGUGCGGUGCGCAGCCGGCGGGCCAUCGCCGUGCUAUCCCACUGGCCUGCCUUUCCAGCCUUCAGAGCCUUCCUCACCUUCCUUUACCGCUACUCCGUCUCCGGCCCCCACCGCCUGCCCUUGGAAGCGUGAGCAUGGCUACCCUGCCACUGGGGAGGAGUGAGGAGGGUGCAGGGAGGCGGGAAAGAUUAGCAUGGAGAUGGGAGUGGGCUGGGCACGGGGAGGGGCCGGCCGGAGUGUGGGGUUGUACAGUGUGGCCAUUGGAAAAAACUGUCACCGGAGGAGGAGACGGACAGCCUGAAAUCCAGUCUGUCCUGCUGGUUGGGCCUGGCGAGGGCUGCGUGUGAUUUGCACAAGUCUGUUGAACAAGAGAGGCUGGGUGGCUGAUGCAGGCCUUGAAGUGGGGUUCAGGGAGGAAUAAGAUUCUUUUUUUUUUUUCCUAUGAAAUUAAAUUUUUUAAGUGAUUAUUUUUAGUUGUAUAUUUCACUUAUUCAUUUUUAGGUGGUGCUGAGGAUGGAACCCAGGGUCUCGCAUGUGGGAGGCCAGCCUCUGCCGCUGAGCCCCACCCGCCCUGUUCUUAGUUCUGGGUAGCAGUGGGGUAGGACUAGGGCUCUUAGGAGAGGAGAGGGAGAGGGACACGGGGUGGAGGAGGACGGGUGGACGGCGUGUGCCUCACCUGCUCCCUCUCUCCCCAGGCACAUCUCCCACUUCAUUCACAACGUGCCCUUCCCUUCCCCACAGAGACCCCGCAUCUUAGUGCAGGUAAGGGCCAGGGCUGGGCUGGACGGACGGAGAGGAGCAGGCCUGUCACCAACACUGACCUCUGGCUUUUCGGCCCCCUAGAUGUCUCCCUAUGACAACCUGCUCCUCUGUCAGCCUGUGUCCUCACCCUUGCCCCUCAGGUAUGUGCCCGGGUUUGGGGGAGGGGGUCUUUGAUGACUGAGGACAUGGUAGGUGCCGGGGGCAGUUGUUGAGGUCCUUGCAGGCUGGACCCCAGCGGUGUCCCUGCCUGGUUCCUGGGGAAGAGUCUCCAGGGCCUGCUGGUGACGCACCCCCACCCUCGCAUUGCCUGCAGCGGCGCCAGCUUCCUGCAGCUGCUGCAGAGCCUGGGCCCUGAGCUGGCUGUCACGCUGCUGAUGGCUGUGCUCACAGAGCACAAGUUGCUGGUCCACUCGCUGAGGCCAGACCUGCUCACGAGCGUCUGUGAGGCCCUCGUCUCAGUGAGUACCA
rnacentral:lncRNA from 1 species